rnacentral:rRNA from 1 species
GAUGAACGCUGGCGGCGUGCCUAAUACAUGCAAGUCGAGCGAACGGACGCUGCUCUUGCGUCUCUGUCGUUAGGCGAAGGGGGGUGAGUAACACGAGGAAAACCUACCUAUAAUACGGGGAUAACUUGGGGAAACGGGAGCUUAUACCGUAUAAUCUCUUGAACCGCGGGGGGCAAAAGAAAAAGACGGUCUUGCUGUCACUUAUCGAUGGAUCCGCGCUUGUUUGGCUGGUUGGGAAGGUAACGGGUUACGAAGGCAACGAUGCAUAGCCGACCUGAGGGGGGGAUCGGCCACACUGGAGCUGAGCCACGGUCCAUGCUCCUACGGUACGCAGCAGUAGGCAACCUUCCGCAAUGGUCGAGAGCCUUACGGAGCAGCGCCGCGCGUGUGAUGAAGAUCUUCGGAUCGUAAAGCUCUGUUAUUGGGGGAGAACAGAUUUGUAAGGAACUGAGCACAUCUUGACGGUAACUAGUCAGAAAGCCCCGGCUAACUACGUG